CAGAGGAUACUAAGGCGCGCGAGAUAACUCUCGUUAAGGAACUAGGCAAGUUGACCCCGUAACUUCGGGAGAAGGGGUGCCCCGGCGGGACGCGGCUUUGACGCCGCGGGUUCGUUGGGGUCGCAGUGACAAGGCUCGAGCGACUGUUUAACAAAAACACAGGUCUCUGCUAAGGGGAAACCCUAUGUAUAGGGGCUGACGCCUGCCCAAUGCUAGACGGUUAACAGGAGGGGUCAUCCGCAAGGAGAAGCCCUGGAUCGAAGCCCUAGUGAAUGGCGGCCGUAACUAUAACGGUCCUAAGGUAGCGAAAUUCCUUGUCGGGUAAGUUCCGACCUGCACGAAUGGCGUAACGACUUGAGCGCUGUCUCAACGAGAGACUCGGUGAAAUUGUAGCACCGGUGAAGAUGCCGGUUACCCGCAUUAGGACGGAAAGACCCCAUGGAGCUUUACUACACCUUGGUAUUGAGUUUUGGAAUAGCAUGUAGAGAAUAGGUGGGAGGGCGCAUGCCCACCAGUGGAAUACCACCCUUGUUAUUUCGGAAUUCUAACCUCAACCGUUAUCCGGUUGAAGGACAGUAUCUGGCGGGUAGUUUGACUGGGGCGGUCGCCUCCCAAAAUGUAACGGAGGCGUCCAAAGGAUCCCUCAGGCUGAUUGGAAACCAGCCGUAGAGUAUAAGGGCAUAAGGGAUCUUAACUGUGAGACUGACAGGUCGAUCAGAUGCGAAAGCAGGGCCUAGUGAUCCUACAGCUAAGUGUGGAAUUGCUGUGGUUCGUCGGAUAAAAGCUACCCUGGGGAUAACAGGCUUAUCUUGCCCAAGCGCUCACAGCGACGGCAAGGUUUGGCACCUCGAUGUCGGCUCGUCGUAUCCUGGGGCUGGAUUAGGUCCCAAGGGUUAGGCUGUUCGCCUAUUAAAACGGCACGCGAGCUGGGUUCAGAACGUCGUGAGACAGUUCGGUCCCUAUCCAAUGCGGGCGCAGGAAGUUUGAGAGGAGCUGUCCCUAGUACGAGAGGACCGGGAUGGACGAACCUCUGGUGUACCAGUUGUCGCGCCAACGGCAGAUGCUGGGUAGCCACGUUCGGUCGUGAUAAGAGCUGGAAGCAUCUAAGCUCGAAGCACACCUCAAGAUGAGACUUCCCAAAUGGGGGCAACCCCGGAGUAAGGUCCCAGGUAGACGACCUGGUUGAUAGGCCACAGGUGUAAGGGCAGUAAUGCCUUCAGCUUAGUGGUACUAAUAGACCGAGGGCUUGACCAU
rnacentral:rRNA from 1 species